CCUGGUACGAUUCGCCUUGAGUUUGAUAUGGCUCAGAGCGAACGCUGGCGGCAGGCUUAACACAUGCAAGUCGAGCGCCGUAGCAAUACGGAGCGGCAGACGGGUGAGUAACACGUGGGAACGUACCUUUUGGUUCGGAACAACACAGGGAAACUUGUGCUAAUACCGGAUAAGCCCUUACGGGGAAAGAUUUAUCGCCGAAAGAUCGGCCCGCGUCUGAUUAGCUAGUUGGUGAGGUAAUGGCUCACCAAGGCGACGAUCAGUAGCUGGUCUGAGAGGAUGAUCAGCCACACUGGGACUGAGACACGGCCCAGACUCCUACGGGAGGCAGCAGUGGGGAAUAUUGGACAAUGGGCGCAAGCCUGAUCCAGCCAUGCCGCGUGAGUGAUGAAGGCCCUAGGGUUGUAAAGCUCUUUUGUGCGGGAAGAUAAUGACUGUACCGCAAGAAUAAGCCCCGGCUAACUUCGUGCCAGCAGCCGCGGUAAUACGAAGGGGGCUAGCGUUGCUCGGAAUCACUGGGCGUAAAGCGCACGUAGGCGGACUCUUAAGUCGGUGGUGAAAUCCUGGAGCUCAACUCCAGAACUGCCUUCGAUACUGGGAGUCUCGAGUUCGGGAGAGGUGAGUGGAACUGCGAGUGUAGAGGUGAAAUUCGUAGAUAUUCGCAAGAACACCAGUGGCGAAGGCGGCUCACUGGCCCGAUACUGACGCUGAGGUGCGAAAGCGUGGGGAGCAACAGGAUUAGAUACCCUGGUAGUCACGCCGUAACGAUGAUGCUAGCCGUUGGUGGUUNACCNUCAGUGCGCAGCUACGCU
rnacentral:rRNA from 1 species